rnacentral:tRNA from 1 species
AGCCAGUUGGUGUAGUGGUGUGAGUGUUGGACUACGACUCUGGAGACUUGGGUUCGAUUUCCUGCUUGGCCA